CGAAAUGCGAUAAGUAAUGUGAAUUGCAGAAUUCAGUGAAUCAUCGAAUCUUUGAACGCACCUUGCGCUCCUUGGUAUUCCUUGGAGCGUGCCUGUUUGAGUAUCAUGAAAUCUUCAAAGUAAAUCUUUUGUUAACUCAAUUGGUUUCUACUUUGGUAUUGGAGGUCUUUGCAGCUUCACACCUGCUCCUCUUUGUUCAUUAGCUGGAUCUCAGUGUUAUGCUUGGUUCCACUCGGCGUGAUAAGUUAUCUAUCGCUGAGGACACUGUAAAAGGUGGCCAAGGUAAAUGCAGAUGAACCGCUUCUAAUAGUCCAUUGACUUGGACAAUACUUUUAUGAUCUGAUCUCAAAUCAGGUAGGACUACCCGCUGAACUUAAGC
rnacentral:misc_RNA from 1 species